GGGGAUAAUGGUUGAGGACGGGGUCGUAACCUGGUUUCCGUAGGUGAACCUGCGGAAGGAUCAUU
rnacentral:rRNA from 1 species